GGCAGUCAUGACCUAAUGGUUAGAGAGUGGGACUUGUAACCCUGAAAGUCACGGGUUCGAGUCUCGGGUCUGGCA